AGCGAACGCUGGCGGCAGGCCUAACACAUGCAAGUCGAACGAACCUUUCGGGGUUAGUGGCGGACGGGUGAGUAACACGUGGGAACGUGCCUUUAGGUUCGGAAUAACUCAGGGAAACUUGUGCUAAUACCGAAUGUGCCCUUCGGGGGAAAGAUUUAUCGCCUUUAGAGCGGCCCGCGUCUGAUUAGCUAGUUGGUUGAGGUAAUGGCUCACCAAGGCGACGAUCAGUAGCUGGUCUGAGAGGAUGAUCAGCCACAUUGGGACUGAGACACGGCCCAAACUCCUACGGGAGGCAGCAGUUGGGAAUCUUGCGCAAUGGGCGAAAGCCUGACGCAGCCAUGCCGCGUGAAUGAUGAAGGUCUUAGGAUUGUAAAAUUCUUUCACCGGGGACGAUAAUGACGGUACCCGGAGAAGAAGCCCCGGCUAACUUCGUG
rnacentral:rRNA from 1 species